rnacentral:rRNA from 1 species
UACGUAGGGUGCAAGCGUUAAUCGGGAUUACUGGGCGUAAAGCGUGCGCAGGCGGCUUUGCAAGACAGAUGUGAAAUCCCCGGGCUCAACCUGGGAACUGCAUUUGUGACUGCAUGGCUAGAGUACGGUAGAGGGGGAUGGAAUUCCGCGUGUAGCAGUGAAAUGCGUAGAUAUGCGGAGGAACACCGAUGGCGAAGGCAAUCCCCUGGACCUAUACUGACGCUCAUGCACGAAAGCGUGGGGAGCAAACAGG